rnacentral:lncRNA from 1 species
AUCAACUUUUGUUGAUUUCUUGUGUUCCAAGCAAUUUGUUCCAAGUGUGUAGGAUUGGAUUGUUGUUCCUGAAAUCUUGCUCAAUUCAAAUAUUAGAUUUAUCAUGUGGUGUAUGAACAUUGUAUGUUUGUUAAUUAUGUCAAAAUUAGGAUUCAAAGGACUAAAGUCCAACAAUCUCCCCCUUUUUGGCAUAAUUGACAAUUCAUACAAUUUUAACUUGAGCAUUUCAAAA